rnacentral:siRNA from 1 species
CAAUGAAAGUGUCGGCCAUUCGG